AGGGUGACAGGUGGUGCAUGGUUGUCGUCAGCUCGUGUCGUGAGAUGUUGGUUAAGUCCCGCAACGAGCGCAACCCUCGCCUCUAGUUGCCAGCAUUCGGUUGGGCACUCUAGAGGGACUGCCGGCGACAAGUCGGAGGAAGGUGGGGAUGACGUCAAAUCAUCAUGCCCCUUAUGACCUGGGCUACACACGUGCUACAAUGGGCGGUACAAAGGGCUGCGAACCCGCGAGGGGGAGCGAAUCCCAAAAAGCCGCUCUCAGUUCGGAUUGCAGGCUGCAACUCGCCUGCAUGAAGCCGGAAUCGCUAGUAAUCGCGGAUCAGCAUGCCGCGGUGAAUACGUUCCCGGGCCUU
rnacentral:rRNA from 1 species